rnacentral:rRNA from 1 species
UACGUAGGUGGCAAGCGUUGUCCGGAUUUACUGGGCGUAAAGGGCGUGCAGGCGGUCUGUUAAGUGCAGGGUGAAAGCUCCCGGCUCAACUGGGAGAGGUCCUUGCAUACUGGCGGACUUGAGGGGGGUAGAGGAAAGUGGAAUUCCCGGUGUAGUGGUGAUAUGCGUAGAUAUCGGGAGGAACACCUGUGGCGAAGGCGGCUUUCUGGGCCCUACCUGACGCUGAGACGCGAAAGCGUGGGGAAGCGAACCGGGAUUAGAAACCCUGGAUAACGUCCUAG